rnacentral:lncRNA from 1 species
GUAUGACUGGGACCCUGCAGCCCCCUGGACGGCCCCAUGGCAGGGGCAGACAUGCCGAGGACCCCCCCGGCGGGCAGCCCCGAGCCACGCAGGCGUGGAGCUGGCGCUCCCCAGCGCCCCUCUGUCACCAGAGCCCUGUCCCCGAAGGCAUUUGGCACCUCGGCGCCCCGGGGCAGCACCUGCCGCCUGCCCGGGGCCGGCACCGGGCUGCCGGGAACGGCCGGGGAGGGGCCGGGCUGGGGACACGGGGGGACACCGGGGGCGGGGGUGGGGGCGCUCGGCAUCGCCCCCCCCGGCCCGCGGAGCGCCCGCGCCCCCCCCCCAGCCCCCCGCGGCGGCCCCGCCGCCCCCGACCCCCCCGCGCCGCCGCCCGCCCCGACGGCGCGGCCGGGCCCUCCCCCGCCGGGGCUGGGCCGGUGCCCGGGGGCGGGGCGAGGGGCGGCGGCGGGCGGCGGAGCCCCGGAGCCCCGCGGCUCGGCAGCCCCGGGCCGGGCCGGACUCACCUGCAGCGGGCGGCUCGGCGCGGCGCCGCCAGUACCAGACCAGGGCGAGCGACACGGCGUGCCCCGCCGCCACCAGCGACGGGAACAGCGACCCGGGGUCGUCCAUGCGGGCGCGGCUCCGCGGCACCGCCCGCCCUCCGGCACGGCUCGGCUCGGCUCCGCGGGGCUGCCGGGCCCGGCGGGGCUGGGAGGCGCCAGCGCCCGCCCCCCCGGGGCCGCUCCCGCUCCGCCUUAACCCCUCCCGGUGCGCGGCGCGGAGCCGCCUUCCCCCCCGCCGCACCGGCGGGAUCGGGCCCCGCGGGGGCGGCCCCGGGCCCGGCGCCAGCCCCUGCCCCCGGCCCGCGCCCCCCCACUCCCGCGCCGGCCUUUGGGACCGCGGGCGGCGCCGCCCCCCCCGGCCCGGCGCGGCCCGGCCCGGCCCGGCCCGGCGCGGCUCUCGCCUACCCGGCACGACCUUCAUGGGCAGCGCGGAGCGAGGCGCAGCGGCUCCGCCGGUCAGCCCGCGGGGGAGGGACGGAGGGAGGGAGGCAGCGGGCGGGCGCCGAUAUAAAUAACCGGGGCCCGUCACGGCGCCCGAGUUAGAACAUGACACGGCCGGGGGCGGG